UGCACAUGAUGCUAUUCUCACGAUGGUCUUCCAAGUCUCGUGGUGAAGGGGCUUUGACGACAAUGCCGCAUGGCUUUGCUGAUGCCUAGUG